AUAUAAUUUGGUUGGUUGGGACUUGGGACGGCCGGACGGGAAAGUAAUAAAGUACUGCAUACUGAAGAGAUGAGGAGGAGUACAGCAGCGAAUGAAUUCGAUUAUCUGAACUUGUUAUUACUAUGAUUAUUGCGUCGCGGUGACAGAUGAUGCAUGGGGUGGGUACGGUAGCAAAACAGGAACACGACUGAAUUCAAGCAACUACAUACAGCACAAGUCGGCAUCAGGCAUAUGAACAGACACAGAUACAGAGACAUGGAUCGUCGUCGGCAAGGAUGACUAGCUAGGUGUUCUUGGUGAUGGCGUAGAUGGCGUAGAUGAUGCCGGGGAUGUAGCCGAGGAAGGUGAGGAGGAGGCAGAUCCAGAACUCGUGGCCGCACCCGUACUUGAGGAACACCCCCAGCGGAGGCAGGAUGAUGGCGAUCAGGAUGUCCACGCAGUUGGCAGUCCCCUCCGACAUGCUGCCGAUGCUUCUUCUUCCUCCUCUUCUUCUUCUCUGCCUUGGCUUGGCUUGGAUGGAUCGGAUUCCUUCUCUCCUUUCGCUUUGCCUCUUCCCUGGCUUCACUUUCACUUUAUAGGCAGGCAGACCUUGGACGAGAGGGAGGGCGAUGGGAUGGCGACAGCUACAUACCAGUCGAGCGAUCUACUAGCUAGUCCGGUGGCACGCAAACGCAACACGUCUCGUC
rnacentral:lncRNA from 1 species